AGCGAAUAGAUACCCUGGUAGUCCACGCCGUAAACGAUGGAUGCUAGCUGUUAUCAGUAUCGACCCUGGUAGUAGCGAAGCUAACGCGUUAAGCAUCCCGCCUGAGGAGUACGAGCGCAAGCUUAAAACUCAAAGGAAUUGACGGGGACCCGCACAAGCGGUGGAGCGUGUUGUUUAAUUCGAUGGUAAGCGAAGAACCUUACCAAGGUUUGACAUCCUGGGAAGGUUGGUGAAAGCCGACCGUGCCUUCGGGAACCCAGUGACAGGUGAUGCAUGGCCGUCGUCAGCUCGUGUCGUGAGAUGUUUGGUUAAGUCCAUCAACGAGCGCAACCCUUAUAGUCUGUUGUAUUUCUCAGGCUAGACUGCCCCGGUAACGGGGAGGAAGGAGGGGAUGAUGUCAGGUCCGUAUUUCCCUUACACCUUGGGCUACAAACACGCUACAAUGGCCGGUACAAAGGGCUGCCAAGCAGCAAUGCGGAGCAAAUCCCAUCAAAGCCGGUCUCAGUUCGGAUUGUUGGCUGAAACUCGCCAGC
rnacentral:rRNA from 1 species